rnacentral:rRNA from 1 species
GACGAACGCUGGCGGCGUGCCUAAUACAUGCAAGUCGAGCGAAGUUUUUCUGGUGCUUGCACUAGAAAAACUUAGCGGCGAACGGGUGAGUAACACGUAAAGAACCUGCCUCAUAGACUGGGACAACUAUUGGAAACGAUAGCUAAUACCGGAUAACAGCAUUAACUGCAUGGUUGAUGUUUAAAAGUUGGUUUUGCUAACACUAUGAGAUGGCUUUGCGGUGCAUUAGCUAGUUGGUGGGGUAAAGGCCUACCAAGGCGACGAUGCAUAGCCGACCUGAGAGGGUGAUCGGCCACACUGGGACUGAGACACGGCCCAGACUCCUACGGGAGGCAGCAGUAGGGAAUCUUCCGCAAUGGGCGAAAGCCUGACGGAGCAACGCCGCGUGAGUGAAGAAGGAUUUCGGUUCGUAAAGCUCUGUUGUUAGGGAAGAAUGAUUGUGUAGUAACUAUACACAGUAGAGGCGGUACCUAACCAGAAAGCCACGGCUAACUACGUGCCAGCAGCCGCGGUAAUACGUAGGUGGCAAGCGUUGUCCGGAAUUAUUGGGCGUAAAGCGCGCGCAGGUGGUUUAAUAAGUCUGAUGUGAAAGCCCACGGCUCAACCGUGGAGGGUCAUUGGAAACUGUUAAACUUGAGUGCAGGAGAGAAAAGUGGAAUUCCUAGUGUAGCGGUGAAAUGCGUAGAGAUUAGGAGGAACACCAGUGGCGAAGGCGGCUUUUUGGCCUGUAACUGACACUGAGGCGCGAAAGCGUGGGGAGCAAACAGG